UGCCAAUACGUGUAUUUGUGGCUGCUUUUUAGUAUAUAUAUUGAGAUACUUUUAAGUUUCCGUUACAAGAAAAUUUGACGAUUCCAACUUACUUCAAAGGUCGAGAUCAUCUUAAGACAAACAUGUAUAUGUAUCAGACUAUUGUCUUGGUUCUUGCCAUUUUACAAAUUAGCUCAGCAGCGAAUUGCGCAUUUGAUCAGUGUGGAGACAACGGCUAUCGCAUCCAAUGUAAUCCUGGCUAUAGACCAGUCUAUGAAACAUGCACUUGCUGCAUUAAAUGUGAAAAAGUUUUAGGUGAAGGGGAAAGUUGCCAAGUAAAAGCGCGUCAGGAUGAAAUUAACAAUGGAUACGGAAUAAUCUAUGAAAAUUUUAGCUAUCCUCAAUGUAGACAAGGUCUAUAUUGCGAUCCAAAUUCCAAAACAUGCAAAAGAAGCAGUGGUUAAUUAUUCUACGUAGUUUCUGUUUGAUUUGGAUUUCUUAGAAUCCUAUAAAUUUAAAAUUAUUCUUCUGUUGGUUGAAUUAAAUUAAUGUUUCAAAACCUC